rnacentral:rRNA from 1 species
CGAGUUAUUCAACUCAUCAACCCUGUGAACAUACCUAAACGUUGCUUCGGCGGGAAUAGACGGCCCCGUGAAACGGGCCGCCCCCGCCAGAGGACCCUUAACUCUGUUUCUAUAAUGUUUCUUCUGAGUAAAACAAGCAAAUAAAUUAAAACUUUCAACAACGGAUCUCUUGGCUCUGGCAUCGAUGAAGAACGCAGCGAAAUGCGAUAAGUAAUGUGAAUUGCAGAAUUCAGUGAAUCAUCGAAUCUUUGAACGCACAUUGCGCCCGCCAGUAUUCUGGCGGGCAUGCCUGUUCGAGCGUCAUUACAACCCUCAGGCCCCCGGGCCUGGCGUUGGGGAUCGGCGGAGCCUCUCUGUGGGCACACGCCGUCCCCCAAAUACAGUGGCGGUCCCGCCGCAGCUUCCAUCGCGUAGUAGCUAACACCUCGCGACUGGAGAGCGGCGCGGCCACGCCGUAAAACACCCAACUCUU